rnacentral:rRNA from 1 species
UAACGCGUGGGUAACCUGCCUUAUACAGGGGGAUAACAGUUAGAAAUGACUGCUAAUACCGCAUAAGCGCACGGUGCCGCAUGGUACGGUGUGAAAAACUCCGGUGGUAUAAGAUGGACCCGCGUCUGAUUAGCCAGUUGGCGGGGUAACGGCCCACCAAAGCGACGAUCAGUAGCCGACCUGAGAGGGUGACCGGCCACAUUGGGACUGAGACACGGCCCAAACUCCUACGGGAGGCAGCAGUGGGGAAUAUUGCACAAUGGGGGAAACCCUGAUGCAGCAACGCCGCGUGAGUGAAGAAGUAUUUCGGUAUGUAAAGCUCUAUCAGCAGGGAAGAAGAUGACGGUACCUGACCAAGAAGCCCCGGCUAACUACGUGCCAGCAGCCGCGGUAAUACGUAGGGGGCAAGCGUUAUCCGGAUUUACUGGGUGUAAAGGGAGCGCAGACGGCAGUGCAAGUCUGGAGUGAAAGCCCGGGGCCCAACCCCGGAACUGCUCUGGAAACUGUGCGGCUAGAGUACUGGAGGGGCAGGCGGAAUUCCUAGUGUAGCGGUGAAAUGCGUAGAUAUUAGGAGGAACACCAGUGGCGAAGGCGGCCUGCUGGACAGUAACUGACGUUGAGGCUCGAAAGCGUGGGGAGCAAACAGGAUUAGAUACCCUGGUAGU